rnacentral:lncRNA from 1 species
UUCAUACAUUAAAGAGAUUUAAUUGACUCACAUGGCUGGGGAGGUGUCAGGAAACUUACCAUCACGGCAGAAGUUGAAGGGGAAACAGGCACCUUUUCCACAAUGCGGCUGGAAGGAGAAUGAAUGAAGGAUGAACUACCCAACGCUCUUAAAACCAUCAGAUCUCUAGAAAACUCACUCUGAGGAGAACAGUAUGGGGAAGCACGCCAUGACCCAGCUCCCUCCACCUUGUCUCUCGGGUGACAUAUGGGGGUUAUGAGCAUAACGAGGAUUAUAAGUGAAGACGAGAUUUGGGUGGGAACACAAAGUGUAAACCAUAGCACCUUCUUUGGAGCUCAUCUAUUUUUGGGUGUUUGUGUACCUGUGUUUUGGGAAAAAUAAUAAAUGCAGACUAAAAUCAAUAACCCCUCCGUACCCAUUACCAGCAUCCACAAUGCUCACCUUCUGCCACUUUCUCAUCUAUGCCCCCAUCUGAGAUUAGAUGAUAGCUCAUCGUCUUUUAGAUUUUUAGGUAAAACUUACGUUAAUAGGGGCAAAUCCCAUCUGUCCAGUUUUGAAAAUGUAAAACCACCUUGUGAAAAAUUAUGUUGUUAGCAGCGGAAUGUAUGUGAGUCACAGGGCAUGAAAAUGUUAGUGGUGGCAAAUCCAUGUGGCUCUGCAGCAACCUCAGUUCUUGCCCCCUCAGAAGAAAGAAUUCGACUGAGGGGCAUAAGGCAGAAGGAGAGACCAAGGCGAGCAGCAGGAGUGGAAGGAAGGAACCGCACUGGGAAGAGGGCAAAGUGGGCAACUUAAGACAUGAAGUAAGCAGCUGGAUCUUCGACGUGGGUUUUAUGUGGUGGCUUCUGCGUCUUCCGCCCCUUCUCCGCAUUCGUCUCUUGGCGUGGGCUAUCUGCAAACACGGUGGUCUGCCAGCACUUGGGAGUGGCUGCGUGCAGGGUGUUUGCUGGAGCUCUGCGCGUGCUCACUUGGGGCCUUCUUCCCCUACCAGCUGAAAGCUCGUGGGAGGUCAUUCGCCAGUUAAACCAGCCAUUUGACCUCCUCAUGCGCAUGCUGGAGCCACUCACCCAACUCCUGAGGUCUUACUGGGAAGCUGCUGACCACGUUUCGGGUUUUUUCUAUCUACUGGGAGACUGCCUUUCCUUGGCACUGGUCACUACCAAUUAUUAUUUUAGAGAAACGGUGUAACAACCAUCUGACCAUCACCUGAGGGGUCGCCUGACAUUCCUGGUUGGGGGUGGGAAGCGCUUUCCUGUCCUGCUGAAGCUGCAGGAGCUACCUACUGUAACAGUAUCAGUGAGAAGAAUUAUUGAGACUGUGAACUGAGCUAACCCACCCCCCAUCUUGACUUUCCCUUAAUUAUUCCUGGUUUUUGGGGCCAAACUGACUUUGAGAGACAUAUAGGCUAUUGUUUCAAUGACAAUAGGCCUUGUCCAAAACUCAGCGGCUCGUCAUGAUUGGGGACUAAACUCUGAUUUUUUUAUCUUGCCCAAAUUCCUAUCUAAGGGGCUUGGGAAGCCAUGCCCUACAAACCAUAAAUUCUCAUCAGAUGGGUUUUAUUUUACCAUGUAUAUCAUGACUUACUUUCCAACCUGACCCUGGCAUAACGUUACGAUACGAGGAAGAAAAUAAAAAACAUUUUACCCCGAAACAUGUUUCUUUGCCAUAUUUUGAAAUGGCCCUGUAAAGCCGUUCUUUGUGGAGGGAAAUUUGCAUCUGUAAAGAAUCUCUAUUGGCCGGGCGCGGUGGCUCAAGCCUGUCAUCCCAGCACUUUGGGAGGCCGAGACGGGUGGAUCACGAGGUCAGGAGAUCGAGACCAUCCUGGCUAACACAGUGAAACCCCGUCUCUACUAAAAAAUACAGAAAACUAGCCGGGUGAGGUGGCGGGCGCCUGCAGUCCCAGCUACUCGGGAGGCUGAGGCAGGAGAAUGGCGUGAACCCUGGAGGCGGAGCUUGCAGUGAGCUGAGAUCCGGCCACUGCACUCCAGCCUGGGCGACAGAGCGAGACUCUGUCUCAAAAAAAAAAAAAAAAGAAUAUUAGCUAAAUCUUUUUCUUCCAGACCCUCCCAGUCCUGAGGAGAUUAACAGUUGAGCACCUUUUAAAGAUCUGAAUAGGGAACAUUUGUCAUCUAUUGUCUCCUAAGGACAGCCACUAUAAGACUUCAAAAGAACUUCGGUCUCCACAAUCUUUAUUUUAACCUGUACACCCCCUUUCUACCAAUCCCAGGUCUUUAGACAAACUCAGUGACUCAAUCAUCAACGAGAGGAUUAAAUUCACCUGCAGGCUGGAGCGCUGCCGCCGCCCCCCCCCCCCCCCA